UAUUUAAAGGGCCGCGGUAUUAUGACCGUGCAAAGGUAGCAUAAUCAUUAGUCUUUUAAUUGAGGGCUGGAAUGAAUGGUUUGACGAAGUGAUAACUGUCUCAAUAUAAGAUAUAGAAGUUAAUUUUUAAGUUAAAAGGCUUAAAUAUUAGUAGAGGACGAGAAGACCCUAUAGAGCUUUAUAUAUAAAUUUAAAUUUGAAUUUAGGAGUUUAUGAUAAUUUGUGUUGAUUGUAUUAUGUUGGGGUGACAUAAAGAUAGAAUUAACUCUUUAUUUUUGGGACAUUGAUAUAUGUAUUUUUGAUCCAUUUUUAGUGAUUAUAAGAUUAAGUUACCUUAGGGAUAACAGCGUAAUUUUUCUUGAGAGUUCAUAUCAACAGAGAAGAUUGCGACCUCGA
rnacentral:rRNA from 1 species